rnacentral:tRNA from 1 species
GGGGCUGUAGCUCAGUUGGGAGAGCGCUUGAAUGGCAUUCAAGAGGUAGGGGGUUCGAAUCCCCCCAGCUCCACCA